GACGAACGCUGGCGGCGUGCUUAACACAUGCAAGUCGAGCGGUAGGGCCCUUUCGGGGGUACACGAGCGGCGAACGGGUGAGUAACACGUGGGUGACCUGCCCUCAGCUCUGGGAUAAGCCUGGGAAACCGGGUCUAAUACUGGAUAUGACUCCAUGACGCAUGUUGUGGGGUGGAAAGCCUUGUGCGGCUGAGGAUGGGCCCGCGGCCUAUCAGCUUGUUGGUGGGGUGANGGCCUACCAAGGCGACGACGGGUAGCCGGCCUGAGAGGGCGACCGGCCACACUGGGACUGAGACACGGCCCAGACUCCUACGGGAGGCAGCAGUGGGGAAUCUUGCGCAAUGGGCGAAAGCCUGACGCAGCGACGCCGCGUGAGGGAUGACGGCCU
rnacentral:rRNA from 1 species